AGGAACCGUUGAUUCGCACAA
rnacentral:snRNA from 1 species